rnacentral:rRNA from 1 species
UACAGAGGGGGCGAGCGUUGUUCGGAAUUACUGGGCGUAAAGCGUGUGCAGGCGGUUUUGUAAGCCAGAUGUGAAAUCCCCGGGCUUAACCUGGGAAUGGCAUUUGGGACUGCAAGGCUCGAGUGCGGCAGAGGAGACUGGAAUUCCUGGUGUAGCAGUGAAAUGCGUAGAUAUCAGGAGGAACACCGAUGGCGAAGGCAGGUCUCUGGGCUGACACUGACGCUCAUGCACGAAAGCGUGGGGAGCAACAGGAU